GCCUGUGUAGCUCAAUGGUAGAGCAUUUGUCUGAAGAACAAAAAACGGGGGUUCGAUUCCCUCCACAGGCA
rfam:Candidatus Lloydbacteria bacterium RIFCSPHIGHO2_02_FTLL_51_22 rifcsphigho2_02_scaffold_13294, whole genome shotgun sequence.